AACUGGGGGAUUCUACCUGAUCCGAGGUAACCUUUAAAAAUUGGGGGUUUAGCGGCUGGAGCACGCCGGGACGAUCCGAACGAGGUUCGCGUUUUACCGCGUUUUACUGCGCUCAGUGUACCGACGAGCCCGCCGAUGAACUUGGGGGCCCCGGGCCGCGGAGGGCCCGGGCGCCCCCACACCCAGCCGAGGCCUGCGGGUUGAAAUGACCCCCCAACCGGCCUGCCCACCGGACACCGCCGGGCGCAACGUGCCCCCCAAGCUCCAAUGAUUCACUGCACAUCUCCCACUACCUCACGUCCCGCAUUUCGCCCCGCUACUCCUCGCUGCCAGACCCCACACCUCCCCUGUUGAACCUCCUAUUGUCUCCCUUCCAGGCUCCCACAUACUGGACCACUACCAGUCUGAACCUCCGGCGGGCUCCCCCCCCCAAACAACAAAACGGCCACGUCACCCGGACGUGGGAGUUUUCCGCUCUCUCUGCCCCCCCCGCCUGCGGAGAGGAUCAUUACUGAGUUGAAAAACUCCACCCUGUGAACAUAACCUCUGUCGUUGCCCCGGCGGGCACGCCCGCCGGAGGUUCAAAACUCUUAUUUUUUCCAGUAUCUCUGAGCCUGAAAGACAAAUAAUCAAAACUUUCAACAACGGAUCUCUUGGUUCUGGCAUCGAUGAAGAACGCAGCGAAAUGCGAUAAGUAAUGUGAAUUGCAGAAUUCAGUGAAUCAUCGAAUCUUUGAACGCACAUUGCGCCCGCCGGUAUUCCGGCGGGCAUGCCUGUUCGAGCGUCAUUUCAACCCUCAAGCCUCGGCUUGGUGUUGGGGCCCCCCUCCACCCUGUCCCCUCCCCACAUCCCCGCCUCCCCCUCACCAACACCCCCCCCCCCCCCCCCCAAAUCCCACCCCAGCCCCCCCCCACCCUCAACCCAAUCCCCACCCCCCCACUCCCCCCCCCAUCAUCCCACUCCCCCCCAACACCCCCCACUCUCUCCACACUAUCAAAUACCCCUACCAAUAAUUCCCUACCUCCCUUUACACCCCCAA
rnacentral:misc_RNA from 1 species